rnacentral:rRNA from 1 species
ACGCUCGACACCUACGGGGAGGCAGCAGUAGGGAAUCUUCCACAAUGGGCGCAAGCCUGAUGGAGCAACACCGCGUGAGUGAAGAAGGGUUUCGGCUCGUAAAGCUCUGUUGUUGGAGAAGAACGUGCGUGAGAGUAACUGUUCACGCAGUGACGGUAUCCAACCAGAAAGUCACGGCUAACUACGUGCCAGCAGCCGUGGUAAUCUGAGCGGGCUGGCAAGGC